rnacentral:tRNA from 1 species
GGCCGCGUGGCCUAAUGGCUAAGGCGCUAGAUUUCGGUUCUCAGAUCCGUCCGGCUCUCUAGAGAUUCCAGGUUCGACUCCUGGCGUGGUCG